UCUCGCCUGCCCAGUGACUAAAUGUUAAACGGCCGUGGUAUCUUAACCAUGCGAAGGUAGCGUAAUCAUUUGUCUUUUAAAUGAAGACCUGUAUGAAUGGCAAAACGAGGGCUUAACUGUCUCCCUUCCCCAGUCAAUGAAAUUGACUUCCCCGUGCAGAGGCGGGGAUAUAACUAUAAGACGAGAAGACCCUGUGGAGCUUUAGACUUAAAAUAACCAUGUAAAACGAGCUUUAAUACAAGCAUAAACUUAGUGAGACUUAUUUAAAUGUCUUUGGUUGGGGUGACCACGGGGCAAAAUAUAACCCCCACGAAGACAGGGGACAUAACCCUAACACUAAGAGACACCCCUCUAAGUAACAAAAUUUUUGACUUCAAAAUGAUCCGGUAUACCCGAUUAACGAACUCAGUUACCCCAGGGAUAACAGCGCAAUCUCCUCCCAGAGCCCUUAUCGACGAGGGGGUUUACGACCUCGAUGUUGGAUCAGGACAUCCUAAUGGUGCAGCCGCUAUAAGGGUUCGUUUGUUCAACGAUUAAAGUCCU
rnacentral:rRNA from 1 species